AUUGAACGCUGGCGGCAGGCUUAACACAUGCAAGUCGAACGAGUGGCGGACGGGUGAGUAAUGCUUGGGAAUCUCGCUUAUGGAGGGGGAUAACUACGGGAAACUGUAGCUAAUACCGCGUACCAUAGGAUGAGCCCAAGUGGGAUUAGGGCGGUGGUGAGGUAAAGGCUCACCAAGCCGACGAUCUCUAGCUGGUCUGAGAGGAGGACCAGCCACACGGGGACUGAGACACGGCCCAGACUCCUACGGGAGGCAGCAGUGGGGAAUAUUGCACAAUGGGCGCAAGCCUGAUGCAGCCAUGCCGCGUGUAUGAAGAAGGCCUUCGGGUUGUAAAGUACUUUCAGCGAGGAGGCGUUACUCGCAGAAGAAGCACCGGCUAACUCCGUGCCAGCAGCCGCGGUAAUAC
rnacentral:rRNA from 1 species